AUUGAACGCUGGCGGCAGGCCUAACACAUGCAAGUCGAGCGAGCGGCGGACGGGUGAGUAAUGUAUGGGGACUGCCCGAUAGAGGGGGAUAACUACUGGAAACGGUGGCUAAUACCGCAUACUAUCGGAUAACCCAUAUGGGAUUGGCGAGUAUGUGGGGUAAAGGCUCACCUAGGCCACGAUCUCGAGCUGGUCUGAGAGGAUGAUCAGCCAACCGGGGACUGAGACACGGCCCAGACUCCUACGGAGGCAGUAGUGGGGAAUAUUGCACAAUGGGCGCAAGCCGGAUGCAGCCAUGCCGCGGGUAUGAAGAAGGCCUUAGGGUUGUAAAGUACUUUCAGCGGGGAGGCGUUACCCGCAGAAGAAGCACCGGCUAACUCCGUGCCAGCAGCCGCGGUAAUAC
rnacentral:rRNA from 1 species